UAUCGUUGGUUUUUAUUUUGACAUUAUUAUUUUUCAUUUUCUUUUCAAAACCGGUGCCAGAAGUGCAUAAUUCGCUAAAAAGUAUUUCAAACUAUUUAACAUAUUGGUACUAUGUUUAUACUCUCUACCGCAGCUACUGAAUGAUGUCAUAGCAAUGACGUCACACUCAAGCCAAUCAGCCUUGAGGAGGAUAGACUCGUCGGACUGUAGCGGUUGUAAACAACUUGUCGCCCCGUGUGUCUGCCCGUGGCGCUAGUUAUCUGUCGGAGUUACCACUGACAAUGCCCAAAACAAGAACAACAAAGGCCCAAAGGUGGCUGUUUGGUAGUGCACAAAGCUGCUGGUGGUGGUGGAUGUCUCUGCUCUGACGCGCGGCGUGCGCCUGCUCAGUGUGGAGGUGCCGCUAACAGCGGUGCCAGCCGGAGCGGCUGCCUCGCCGGCGGCCGACAUUGAGCGCGGCACGUGUCAGCCGCCGUUCGGGCCGCUGCAGCUGCUCCAGUCGGCGGCGCAGCUGUCCGUCUCCGUGUCACUGGCCGUGCCGCUGGACCUGCUGCCGCGGCCGGCGCCGGCGCGCUGCGCCUAUGGCCGACUGCUGGCCGUGGUCUCGCAGCGCGGCCUGCAGCGCAGCGGCGUGCUGCAGCUCAUCCAACAGCUCAACGAGCCGCCCAGCCCGGCGGCGGCCGAGGGCACCGCGCCGCGCCGGCCGGGCGACGUCAGCACACCUGGCAUCAGCGGCUUCUGCCUGGCCGACCGUCAGCUGCACCUGCUGUUCGCCGAGGGGCGCGCCGACGCCGAGCUGGAACAGACGGCGGCCGCGCCGCGACGCUCGACUCUGCCACCAAUCGGGCCUGCUGUUUAGGGAGCGCCUGUACCCGCGCCAACCGGCCGCGUUCCGCGUGCUCGAGGACCGCCCGCUACGCGCCCAGCUGCUCGACACCCGCCUCUACACGUCACAGAAACAGGAGCCGGCGCGCGCCGUCCGCGCCAUCAGAGAGUGCUUCCGCACGCAGUGGCUGUCGGAAAAUGAACCUGCUUCCCAACGAGGCCGGCCUGCAACAACUGCUGGCCGGCUGUUGGCCGAAAAAAAAAACGCCUUCAACCGGAUGUCAGUUGUCAAAUCUAUUAAUGCAUUCACUAGGAUGGGCUUACGUAAAGCUGUAGAAUUGCAAAUAUAUAAUGGCACUGUUUUUGAUCCGUUCGGUA
rnacentral:lncRNA from 1 species